rnacentral:pre_miRNA from 1 species
AAUAAGUACAGUUUUGCACUAUUCAUCUUCAACGUUUGACCGUUCGUCUUAUUUAAUUUUUUUAUUACUAAUUUUAUUGUUAUUAGAUGAUAAAGUAUGAAUAGUACUUUAUGUGUGACUAAUUUUUUAAAAAAAAUUCAUAAAAUUUUUAAAUAAGACGAACGGUCAAACGUUGGACACGAAUUUCCACGGCUACAUUUAUU